UACAGAGGGUGCAAGCGUUAUUCGGAAUCACUGGGCGUAAAGCGCUCGUAGGCUGUUAAUUAAGUCAGAUGUGAAAUCCCCGGGCUCAAUCCGGGACGUGCAUCUGAUACUGGUUGACUAGAGUGCAGGAGAGGAAAGCGGAAUUCCAGGUGUAGAGGUGAAAUUCGUAGAUAUCUGGAGGAACAACAGAGGCGAAGGCGGCUUUCUGGACUGUCACUGACGCUGAGGAGCGAAAGCGUGGGGAGCAAACAGG
rnacentral:rRNA from 1 species